AACUUUUGACAACGGAUCUCUUGGUUCUGGCAUCGAUGAAGAACGCAGCGAAAUGCGAUCAGUAAUGCGAAUUGCAGAAUUUCCGUGAGUCAUCGAAUCUUUGAACGCACAUUGCGCCCUUUGGCAUUCCGAAGGGCAUGCCUGUUCGAGCGUCAUUAUCCUCUCUCAAACCUCGUGUUUGGUGUUGGACCGCGUUGGACCGCCUCCAUGGCCAACUGGUCUCAAAGACAAUGACGGCGUCCCCGGGACCCUCUUCGCACUGACUUCUCCGGAGCACGCGUAGAGUUUCAAGGGCCCAGGGACCCGGUCGCCUCUAAAUUUUUUAUCAGGUUGACCUCGGAUCAGGUAGGAAUACCCGCUGAACUUAAGCAUAUCAAUAAGCGGAGGCU
rnacentral:misc_RNA from 1 species